ACAGCCUGAAAACCGCGAGGCUCACACCGUACGGGGUGCAUCAUGCAUCUACAUCCGUGAGCGGGUUAAGGUCUGAGCAUUCUAAUCCCCCUCGCUCGGCUCUAGCAGGGCCUGGUCUUAACAGACUAAGCGGCGUACCAGAAAUUCGUCCUACCAUCUCACCCGAAGACGUCCUAGCCUUGUGCUGGUGAUAGAGGGGACGGGGUUGCUGGGCUUGAGAUGCGCCGUGGGGACCGGGUGGGUGUGUCCUGUAUGCCGGCUUCGUGCUUUGGUGUUAUUGUCACCCUGUCCUUUAGUGCACUUCGCGGUUCGCAGUUCGUAGGUCUCUCUGUGACCGUGCGGAACUCGAUUCAGACUACUCUUGGGCUGU
rnacentral:RNase_P_RNA from 2 species